GUGCUUAUCUCAGCAGCACAUACACUAAAACUGGAACAAUACAGAGAAUAGUAGCAUGCCCCCUGUGCAAGGAUAACAUGCAAAUUCAUGAAUCAUUCCUUUUUUUU
ensembl:snRNA U6 U6 spliceosomal RNA